UGCAGGGUCAGUCAUAUAUAAUAACAAGUCAUCCGCAUACAAUGAUACUUUAUGUGUAAUUCCAUUACGGAUGAUUCCCCUGAAUACAGAAGAAGAUCGCAAUGUAAUAGACAGAGGCUCGAUGGCAAUGGCAAAGAGUAAGGCAGACAAAGGGCAACCUUGACGACAACCACGACCCAGCGCAAAAUAAUCAGAGUAAACAUCAUUAGUAUGAGCACUGGCUUUAGGGGAUGAAUAAAGAAGCCGAAUCCAGGAAAUAAAUUUAUCACCAAAACCAAAUUUCUCUAAAACUGCAAACAAGUACUCCCACUCCUGUCAUGGUCCGGGUGUGUGCCAGUGUGUCUCCCUCCGAGCCGGCGUCUCCACCCCUGGGAGGGGCCUCAGUGUUUUUGCUGAUCGUUGACAUCUGUGGGUAAUUAGCCGGGGGACUCAUAAGGCCAGCGUUCUCAAUCUCUCUUCGCCAGAUUCUCUGCUAAACAUCACUACACCUAACUGUUAAACCCCUGGCGAAGAGCUUCUACUUGGAUGCUGGACCUUCUGGCAGUCCCUCAGGCUACCACCAAAACUACCUACCUGCCUCUCUGCCUCCACGCCAGGAGUUUUUGGAUUUACACACCCGGAUUACUCCCCCUCUAUGUCAUCUCCGACCUCCGUUGGCAAGUACACAGUACGAAGGAGGAUUUUGAGCCAAACAACAUAUUCAUAUGCCUCCUUAUCUAUGUUUUGAACAUUUGCAUUCUGUUACAGUGACCCCGACCUUUUCCUGGACCUUUUGUGACUUGCUUUCCAGUCCAAUCCCCGGACCCGGACCAGAUCAUUAUUUAGUUAACGUCUACGCUCACCUUUUGUUUAUGAAUAUUUUGUGUGCACAUUAAACAUUAUUCUUAAAAUAUA